CGGCGAAUACGUCCGUUGUUUGGUUUAGUGUCGGUGGUUGUUUGCUGAGUGGGUCAGAAGCCGGCGGAUAGCGGGUUCUGUGAUUUUGAACGAUUUCAGGAUCAACAAGUGAAACAAACAAUCAAGACUCCGAACACGGACUAUGUUCUGAUGCUUUUUUUCCACAUGGCCUCAAUUUUGUUUGUGCUGGAAGAAAGUGGACUACUGUAUCUACUAUAGUGCAUCCAGAAACAACAGGAGGUUCUCUUCACUUUCAGUUGUUACUUGGACGUGACUGGAUCCCCCCUGACUGGCUUCGUGCAUCACUUCAAUCUGAAAGGGACAGGGUUGGGAGUGAGAAGCCACGUAACCAUGGAGGGCAUUCUUUACAAAGGUCAUUGUAGGUCUGACUGAAUACAAUAAAUCAAUUAUUGUAUGGCACUGAAGCAAUUUCAAUGAUAAACAAAAUGAAAGGAAUACAAACGUGAACAUAUGCGUGAACACUCUAGCUACUGAAAUCGCCCUCAAUGUCCAAAAUCUUAAGCAAGCAUAAGAGGGUCUUUCCCAGAGAUCUGAAUAGCCUUCUGCCUGUUGAGUAAUUUGCCUAUAUAACUCUCUAACUUCCUUCAGCUUGUUCCCCAGUGGCUCAAAAUUGAUUUAGGUGGUGAUGUAAAACCAUGGGUACAGUAAUAUUUCAGUAU